GCCGGGUGUGGUGGCGUGUGCCUGUAAUCCAAGCUACUUGGGAGGCUGAGGCAGGAGAAUCACUUGAACCCAGGAGACUGAGGUUGCAGUGAGCCUAGAUUGCACUGCUCCACUCCAGCCUGGGUGACAGAGAGAAACUCCGUCUCAA
rnacentral:SRP_RNA from 1 species